AGGGCUGCAGUUCAGUGGCAGAGCAUCUGCUUGGCAUGCAGAAGGCCCCAGGUUCAAUUUCUGGCAACCCCA